UAAACAGAGGGAGGCAAGACCGUGAGGUGGAGCGAACCCCUAAAAGCCGUCCCAGUUCAGAUCGCAGUCUGCAACUCGACUGCGUGAAGUCGGAAUCGCUAGUAAUCGCGGAUCAGCAUGCCGCGGUGAAUACGUUCCCGGGUCUUGUACACACCGCCCGUCGCACCAUGGGAGCCGGAAAUGCCCGAAGCCAGUGACCCAACCUUAGGGAGGGAGCUGUCGAAGGUGGAGCCGGUAACUGGGGUGAAGUCGUAACAAGGUAGC
rnacentral:rRNA from 1 species